rnacentral:rRNA from 1 species
GGGGAAUUUUCCGCAAUGGGCGAAAGCCUGACGGAGUAAUACCGCGUGAGGGAAGACGCUCUGUGGAGUGUAAACCUCUUUUAUUGGGGAAGAAGACAAUGACGGUACCCAAUGAAUCAGCCUCGGCUAACUCCGUGCCAGCAGCCGCGGUAAUACGGAGGAGGCAAGCGUUAUCCGGAUUUAUUGGGCGUAAAGCGUCCGUAGGUGGCAAUUCAAGUCUGCUGUUAAAGCCCGAGGCUUAACCUUGGAGAAGCAGUGGAAACUGAAUCGCUUGAGAACAGAAGGGGCAGAGGGAAUUCCCAGAGUAGCGGUGAAAUGCGUAGAGAUUGGGAAGAACACCGGUGGCGAAAGCGCUCUGCUAGGCUGUUUCUGACACUGAGGGACGAAAGCUAGGGGAGCGAAAGGGAUUAGAUACCCCUG